rnacentral:misc_RNA from 1 species
GGGAUUACGGAGCUCCAUCUAUACAAGGAUUCUAGCACAGUCUUACAAGACUCGCAGUGAAAGCUAAUAAUUUUGAACUGAAACUAGCAUGGCUCUAGAUGAUUUAACAAACCCAGUUUGGGGGUACACCAACGGAAGAUCCACAUUACCACCUCUAGUGCUUUCUUACCCUAUGUGACACAUUCAAGAUGAAUGGAGCAUCUGAUCAAGCUAUAAGACUCAGAGCAUUUCCAUUCUCCCUUCGAGACAGAGCG